rnacentral:rRNA from 1 species
GACGAACGCUGGCGGCGUGCUUAACACAUGCAAGUCGAACGGAAAGGCCCUGCUUUUGUGGGGUGCUCGAGUGGCGAACGGGUGAGUAACACGUGAGUAACCUGCCCUUGACUUUGGGAUAACUUCAGGAAACUGGGGCUAAUACCGGAUAGGAGCUCCUGCUGCAUGGUGGGGGUUGGAAAGUUUCGGCGGUUGGGGAUGGACUCGCGGCUUAUCAGCUUGUUGGUGGGGUAGUGGCUUACCAAGGCUUUGACGGGUAGCCGGCCUGAGAGGGUGACCGGCCACAUUGGGACUGAGAUACGGCCCAGACUCCUACGGGAGGCAGCAGUGGGGAAUAUUGCACAAUGGGCGGAAGCCUGAUGCAGCAACGCCGCGUGCGGGAUGACGGCCUUCGGGUUGUAAACCGCUUUCGCCUGUGACGAAGCGUGAGUGACGGUAAUGGGUAAAGAAGCACCGGCUAACUACGUGCCAGCAGCCGCGGUGAUACGUAGGGUGCGAGCGUUGUCCGGAUUUAUUGGGCGUAAAGGGCUCGUAGGUGGUUGAUCGCGUCGGAAGUGUAAUCUUGGGGCUUAACCCUGAGCGUGCUUUCGAUACGGGUUGACUUGAGGAAGGUAGGGGAGAAUGGAAUUCCUGGUGGAGCGGUGGAAUGCGCAGAUAUCAGGAGGAACACCAGUGGCGAAGGCGGUUCUCUGGGCCUUUCCUGACGCUGAGGAGCGAAAGCGUGGGGAGCGAACAGGCUUAGAUACCCUGGUAGUCCACGCUGUAAACGGUGGGUACUAGGUGUGGGGUCCAUUCCACGGGUUCCGUGCCGUAGCUAACGCUUUAAGUACCCCGCCUGGGGAGUACGGCCGCAAGGCUAAAACUCAAAGGAAUCGACGGGGCCCCGCACAAGCGGCGGAGCAUGCGGAUUAAUUCGAUGCAACGCGUAGAACCUUACCUGGGUUGACAUGGAUCGGGAGUGCUCAGAGAUGGGUGUGCCUCUUUUGGGGUCGGUUCACAGGUGGUGCAUGGCUGUCGUCAGCUCGUGUCGUGAGAUGUUGGGUUAAGUCCCGCAACGAGCGCAACCCUUGUUCACUGUUGCCAGCACGUUAUGGUGGGGACUCAGUGGAGACCGCCGGGGUCAACUCGGAGGAAGGUGGGGAUGACGUCAAGUCAUCAUGCCCCUUAUGUCCAGGGCUUCACGCAUGCUACAAUGGCUGGUACAGAGAGUGGCGAGCCUGUGAGGGUGAGCGAAUCUCGGAAAACCGGUCUCAGUUCGGAUUGGGGUCUGCAACUCGACCUCAUGAAGUCGGAGUCGCUAGUAAUCGCAGAUCGGCAACGAUGCGGUGAAUAAGUUCCCGGG